rnacentral:rRNA from 2 species
UACGAAGGGGGCUAGCGUUGUUCGGAUUUACUGGGCGUAAAGCGCACGUAGGCGGAUUGUUAAGUCAGGGGUGAAAUCCUGGAGCUCAACUCCAGAACUGCCUUUGAUACUGGCAAUCUCGAGUCCGGAAGAGGUAAGUGGAACUCCUAGUGUAGAGGUGGAAUUCGUAGAUAUUAGGAAGAACACCAGUGGCGAAGGCGGCUUACUGGUCCGGUACUGACGCUGAGGUGCGAAAGCGUGGGGAGCAAACAGG